rnacentral:rRNA from 1 species
UACAGAGGUGGCAAGCGUUGUUCGGAAUUACUGGGCGUAAAGGGCGCGUAGGCGGCUUGGUCAGUCCCGUGUGAAAUCCCUCGGCUCAACUGAGGAACUGCACGGGAAACUGCCUGGCUUGAGUUCGGGAGAGGGAAGCGGAAUUCCGGGUGUAGCGGUGAAAUUCGUAGAUAUUGGGAAGAACACCGGUGGCGAAGGCGGCUCACUGGCUCGUAUCUGACGCUCAGGCGCGACAGCGUGGGGAUCAAACAGG